rnacentral:lncRNA from 1 species
GUUGAUGUCACUGUGAGAUCAUAUAUAUACUUUUUUAUUGUCCUUUGCCAAUUGAUAGUGGCUCUUAUUUGUAUCACGUGAUCUCCUCAAACUGCCCAUAAAAGGAGUAAAUUAUGUGUUUUAUCAAAUUAAUUAUAAAUUGUGUAGUAAGAGCUUUAAUAAUAAACCACAUUUCUUUUCAUUUGUAGGAUUCUCUGACUCAGUACGCCGUGGCUUACGCUGAGGUUUUGGAAGAAGUCCGACUGUUUCGUAACAGAGUGGCACAGAAAGGGACACAGGUCCAAAGCACCAGGGGCCAGCCAAGCACUGCUUCGAGCUAUAGGCCCACACGGGGGAAACAGAAUAGGAGCUGGAAGGAGAAAUGAUUCUCCCCUUACACCCAUUACUGAUUGGAUCAAGUGUUUGACAGAAGGACUUCUUAAUUACAGAUUCUAUUGGUCCAGAUUUUAAAACUGUGAUUUCCCAGACAUUUCAGCAGCUUUAUGCUCUUGUAAUGACAAAUCUUUAACGAAUACAAAUUGAUAUACUGAUUUUGUGAUAUUUGACUUUAUGAAUGUAUUAUUUAUUUACAUUAAUAAACCCCUUUAAUAAUAAUUACUUUACUCUGUGGUAAACGGUAUGACGGUAUAUAAUUGCAGCCUUCUUCUUUAAAAAUCAUCAUGUAAAAAUGAAUCAACAGGUCAAACAGACCAGCUGUGAAACAGUUAAAAGUCCAUUAAAAGUUAGUUUAUGUAGACUCAUGUAUUUGUGGAAACAUACAGCACCCGUGUGUUGUUUCAAAGACCCGCGAUGACCGAGUUUGAUAAAUAUUAAAGGGGCCCCAUGCUGUAUUUGUAGCAAUUUACAUGUAUUAAAUGUAAUAAACAUGAAGUUGUUGCUUGUAUAGAGUGUCAUUUUGUCGCGAUAUUUCUACGGUGCAUUUGUUUAGCUUCAAUAAUCAUGUAGUCAAAAUCUGAUGUCACAACAGUCCUGAUCUAAAGUGCGUCUUACCUGCCGACAUUUAGCAGCCGUUUGAACUCAAUGUUUCACCAGAUUUCAUCAUCAUCAGUAAAUGAAUAUAAAGAUGAAAACAAACAUGUAAAAUUUUAUAAAUUCCAUUAACGGUAAACAAAACAUACUACUUCUCUGUCUCCCGACAAGAAAGUCCCCAGACUCCCUUGAGAAAUCUCUCUAUUUUGU